GUAAAUAAGUACUAGAUACACCUCCACUUAGGUGACCAUCUGCCAUCUCAAGAAAUGAAAGUGUUAGGUGCAAUGAAUCUUGCGCCUUUAUUUAUUUUGAAAAUUCUACACUCCUAGACAAAAUAAGUACUUGUACUGUUUAGAAAAAAAUAGAUCAUAUGCUCAUUAAAAUUUUUUCUCAAAGUAAAAUGACCCUGAAAAGAAAUAAAGCUGUCAUGUGGGAAAAUGGUGGGUAAGAGGCUCUAAGAUCUAUUGUUGCAUGUCUAAAUUUCAACAUUGCCCAUGUGUAGGCUGAUGAUCCUUAAAUUCAUGUUUUUCCAGGACUGGAAACCCCACCCUAAGUGAGGUAGCAGAUCCUUGCAGGAUGCACUGCCUGGGUGUGACUCUCCUGCCACAGUUAACUCCGUUGCAAAGGGCAAAAAGCAGAACCAUUUCCUGGGUUGGGGACAGGGCGCUCUCACCGUUUCAAGGACUGCUUAAGAAAUGUGCAUUUUUCAUCCUAAAACAACUAGAGUCUAGAAAUAAUUGGAAUGUGAAUUUCACUGGCCUGCCUGACUUGACUGAUGAUGUGGGGUGGAAGAAUAUUGCUUAUUAUUAUGAAAUUGAACAUAGUCAAGGUAUGUUUUAAGUCUAUAGUUCAGUCUUUAAUUCAUUUUUUGGGUGAGUGGGUGAGAAUUGUGGUUGAAAUAAUGGAAAUGGGGUUUUCAUCUAUGAACCACCGUUGAGUAGGGCAUUUUCUUUGCAGAUAAUUUCUAUGGAAAGUCUCAUUUUUCACAAGAGGGAAACAGUUCCACUGAGGGCAUUGGAAGGAUUCUUUGUUUUCACAAAUAACUAUGAGAUAGGUGUCUGGGAAAAAAAAAAAAAGGAGAUUAAAUUGAAGGAAGAUAUAGGGUUCCCUCUGGAAUAGCAUGGUUGAUAUUAUCUUUUAUUGGGUAUCUUUCAUAUAUCAGGUAAUUCACAUGUGUUAUGAUACCAGAGCUUUGCUGCUGAUGGUUUGGGACAAAGUAUUGUUCCUGGGAUGUCAAGUGGGAAUGUUAUCUGAGGAAGAAAAAAAGUAGGUGCAGAAGCCCCGCCCAUACUGAUCCUCAUCAGGCUCUUCCAGUGACUCCUGACCCCUUUGCCUCCCUGUGGAGCCACUGCUGCCCACCUGCUUUUGUUUUCUUAGUGAUAGAAAAGCAACAUGAGUAACUAAGUUCAAAGAUACUUUUGCUUUCUUAUAAUAGUAGUUACGUAAAACUAUGCCAGAACCUAUUCUGUUUUGUUUUGUUUUGUUUCUUACUCUUUGUUUUUUUUUUUUUUUUUUUUGGCUUUUGUCUUUUCAGGGCCGCACCCAAGGCAUAUGGAUCUUCCAAGGCUAGGGGUCUAAUCGGAGCUGUAGCUGCUGGCCUACACCACAGCCACAGAAACGCAGGAUCUGAGCUGCGUCUGCGACCAGCUCACGGCAACGCCGGAUCCUUAACCCACUGAGUGAGGCCAGGGAUCGAACCUGCAACCUCAUAGUUCCUAGUCAGAUUCGUUUCCGCUGCGCCAAGAUGGAAACUCCCAAAGACAGAUUUUAACCUGUCGUGGUCACCAGUGUAUUCUCAGCAGUCAGGUGAUCACUGGCACAUGGUAGGCACUUUGUGAAU
ensembl:lncRNA